GUUCCUGUAGUUGAGUUACAACAGUGGUUUUUCAGACCGCGAGCCUUGGUUAGAGUCCUGGCAGGAAUU
rnacentral:tRNA from 1 species